rnacentral:rRNA from 1 species
CCUAGGGAGGCAGCAGUGGGGAAUAUUGGACAAUGGGCGAAAGCCUGAUCCAGCCAUGCCGCGUGUGUGAAGAAGGCCUUCGGGUUGUAAAGCACUUUCAGUGGGGAAGAAAGCCUUGGGGCUAAUACCCUCGAGGAAGGACAUCACCCACAGAAGAAGCACCGGCUAACUCCGUGCCAGCAGCCGCGGUAAUACGGAGGGUGCGAGCGUUAAUCGGAAUUACUGGGCGUAAAGCGCGCGUAGGCGGUCUGAUAAGCCGGUUGUGAAAGCCCCGGGCUCAACCUGGGAACGGCAUCCGGAACUGUCAGGCUAGAGUGCAGGAGAGGAAGGUAGAAUUCCCGGUGUAGCGGUGAAAUGCGUAGAGAUCGGGAGGAAUACCAGUGGCGAAGGCGGUCUUCUGGACUGACACUGACGCUGAGGUGCGAAAGCGUGGGUAGCAAACAGGAUUAGAUACCCCGGUAGUC